rnacentral:tRNA from 1 species
UCCUUGGUGGCUCAGAGGAUAAGCGUCUGCCUGCAAUGCAGGAGACCUGGGUUCGAUCCCUGGGUUGGGAA